rnacentral:misc_RNA from 1 species
AACGCACAUUGCGCCCUUUGGUAUUCCGAGGGGCAUGCCUGUUCGAGCGUUAUUAUGACCAAUCAAGCCUGGCUUGGUGUUGGGGCACGCAGUUCUGUGGCCCCUGAAAUCAGUGGCAGUGCCUAUUUGGCUCUAAGCGUAGUAAUUUCUCCUCGCUAUAGGGUCCUAGUAGAUGCUUGCCAAAAUCCCCCAACUAUAUUCACGGUUGACCUCGGAUCAGGUAGGGAUACCCGCUGAACUUAA